UACAGAGGGGGCAAGCGUUGUUCGGAAUUACUGGGCGUAAAGGGCGCGUAGGCGGCCUUCUAAGUCGAACGUGAAAUCCCUGGGCUCAACCCAGGAACUGCGUCCGAUACUGGAAGGCUUGAAUCCGGGAGAGGGAUGCGGAAUUCCAGGUGUAGCGGUGAAAUGCGUAGAUAUCUGGAGGAACACCGGUGGCGAAGGCGGCAUCCUGGACCGGCAUUGACGCUGAGGCGCGAAAGCCAGGGGAGCAGACGGG
rnacentral:rRNA from 1 species